GUCUCCAGUCUCCUAUGGAUGAGGAGAUAGAGUGGGGGGGUCCUACCUCUAAGACCACUCUGUCUGGGGAACAUGGCCGCCGGAGCAAAGCUAAGAGCCCUGAGCAGAGAGCAGACUCCACUGGACACAGCUGUGUCUCCUUGAAGAGUGACCGCUCUAUGGGACGUCUUCUUAACUUUAAAGAUGGACAUCAGUCUAUUGAGAAGAGAAGAGUCCAGCAGCAGAGAGCAGACUCCCCUGGACCCAGCUGUGUCUCCAUGAAGAGUGACCGCUCUAUGGAUCAUCCUGGCCAGUUUAAACAUAGAAAUCAGUCUAUUGAGAAGAGGUGA
rnacentral:lncRNA from 1 species